rnacentral:rRNA from 1 species
UACAGAGGGUGCGAGCGUUAAUCGGAAUUACUGGGCGUAAAGCGUGCGUAGACGGCUAUCUAAGUCGGGUGUGAAAGCCCCGGGCUCAACCUGGGAAUUGCAUUCGAGACUGCAUGGCUAGGAUGCGGAAGAGGGAAGCGGAAUUUCCGGUGUAGCGGUGAAAUGCGUAGAUAUCAGGAGGAACACCGGUGGUGUAGACGGCUUUCUGGACCGUAACUGACGCUGAGACACGAAAGCGUGGGUAGCAAACAGG